GGGGAGGUUCCAGAGUGGUCAAAUGGGGCAGACUGUAAAUCUGUUGGCUUCGCCUUCGAAGGUUCAAAUCCUUCUCUCCCCA
rnacentral:tRNA from 1 species